UACGAAAGGGGCUAGCGUUGUUCGGAAUUACUGGGCGUAAGGCGCACGUAGGCGGCAUUGUAAGUUAGAGGUGAAAUCCCCGGGCUCAACCCGGGAACUGCCUUUAAGACUGCAAAGCUUGAGGAUGCGAGAGGUUGGCGGAAUUCCGAGUGUAGAGGUGAAAUUCGUAGAUAUUCGGAAGAACACCAGUGGCGAAGGCGGCCAACUGGCGCAUUUCUGACGCUGAGGUGCGAAAGCGUGGGGAGCAAACAGG
rnacentral:rRNA from 1 species